GUUGGUCUCUUUCAAAUAUAGCAGACUCCAAAUCAUAAUACCCACCAGUGGUUGUAUCUUCAUCACGACUACGUAAUCUAUCCUUGACUUUCCACUUGGUUGCUUCUUUUACGUCAAGCAUAAUUGUGUUCAGGGUCUCAAGUUCAUCUGUCAAACCACUGGAGCAUUUGAGUGUUCAGAAACAUAUUAAUCACGGAAAUUUCAUGUGCGUGGAUGCGCUAUGAAGAGAUUUUACCAUUGGAAGGCAAAGGUCGGACUGUCACAUGUGCAUCUUCAAUCCAAGUAUCCCAUCCCUGAGUUGGAGAAGCCAUUGCAGUGUUAUUCUUCUUCAUCCAUGAAUCC
rnacentral:lncRNA from 1 species